AACGCCAUUCCUCUUUUUUUAAAUCGUGCUGCAUGAUAAGCUGGGAUACCCUGUAUUUUCAAGAAGUGUAGCAGUAGGAAUGGGGUCAACCAGUUUCAUCUGUGUACACGUCUCCUCAUGCUGUUCUCAGAAAUGUAUGCUACAAGAAAUUGGCAUCACCCACAAGCAGAUUUUGAAAAUUUUUCCACAGUAUACAUGGCACUAUCUUGUUAAAUUUCUGAAUUUACUUUAUAUGCACCAUUACAUGUGCACAGGCAAAUUGUAUCAUUUUGUUUUAUGCUUAGACCUUCAAGAAUAAUGAACACAUAAAUCCGACGACACCAUAACCACCACACCAAGAACGACAGUUGACAGAUAUUAGCAGAUGCUAGUUUUCGCAAUGUUGACAGUAGCGACCUGUGUGGAGCCACUUCUCAGCUCUGCACCCUGGCCAUAGGUGCAGGCUCCAUGGGACUUUUGCCUAUGUGCGAACAACAGGGCAGUCCAAAAGACAUCACUAAUCCAAGCAAUCAUCACUAAAAAGCAUCAAUCUCAAAUGUUAUUUACAGCGCUAGUAAUGUCCAAUGCAAAUUCUGCCUCAAGAACCUCUAGCCUGCUUUCUGCGGUCAGACCGCAAACAUUUACUUGCAGAAGUGUUGACUCCUUGCUGUACGACACUGACCAAACCAGUCCUCCUGUGCUGCAUCCUGAUCAAUCGCCCAUAACGCACCGCCACAAACAAGUACAAAGGUAGUGAAGUCUCAAUUCUAUAAAGCAAUGCCUAGACACAGCUUCUGUGAUGUUGGUAUCUAAGGUAUGGUUCAAGGGAAGUUGGGUUGCAGAAUGUAGAUUGGGGAGGAGUGGAGGGUCAUGAAUAUUUGUUUGUAAGAACUAAUCCUCAAUGAAAAACUAAGAAUACCAAGUGCCCAGUGGUCUCCACUAACCAAUGGCAGCAGCAAAACAUCAGUGUGCACAAGUACUGCGCAACACCAGCCAGCCAGUUCAGUGCACUUGUUCGCUCCACCAGCAAUGUGAUAAAGAGAAAGUUACGGCGUGUGGUUCAACAGACCUCCAGAAGCUACUGCAGCUCACACGAGAACACACAAACCACGUGGCAUGGAAAUAUUCAGACUGGAAAUCCAAUAUAAAGUAACACUUACUCACACGCAGAAAUUGAAACCACGGUGAAAUUUGCAUAUCAUUGUGGAUGCAGAUUCUUGGCAGUAAUUGUCACUUAAGAGACAACGUUGAUUGACUUGUGUCAAAACGUGCACAUGUGUGUGUGUGUUGCAUCAACAUGCUAUUUUUUUACCAAGUUUAGGUUACUGCCCACAAACAUUUACACCAAGUCCCAGUAAUCUUCAGUGAAUUGCAUUAGUCAUAAACAGCCUUACAUGGACUCACUAUGUGCGCAACCAGAGAUGCAUAUGGGAGUGUACCAGACAAAUGUGUAUACAUUAUUGUAUACAAUGGGAUACAACAAAUCUUUUGGAGCUUUUUCCCCUGAAGUUACUAUCACAUGGUACCAUGCAAUUGAACACUCUUACAUAAGCUACAUGCCCAUCUCAUAAACCAUGGGCCAACAAUAACGUUGUAAACCUCACCUGUAACAUACUAGACAGAGUGCUAA
rnacentral:lncRNA from 1 species